AAUCAACGCUGGCGGCGUGCCUCAGACAUGCAAGUCGAACGAUUAAAGCUCUCUUCGGAGAGUGCAUAGAGUGGCGCACGGGUGAGUAACACGUAAGUAAUCUACCUUCGAGUGGGGAAUAACGUCCGGAAACGGACGCUAAUACCGCAUAAUGCAGCGGCAUCGCAAGAUGACAGUUGUUAAAGGAGCAAUUCGCUUGAAGAGGAGCUUGCGGCAGAUUAGCUUGUUGGUAAGGUAACGGCUUACCAAGGCUACGAUCUGUAACCGGUCUAAGAGGACGGUCGGUCACACUGACACUGAAUAACGGGUCAGACUCCUACGGGAGGCAGCAGUCGGGAAUUUUGGGCAAUGGGGGAAACCCUGACCCAGCAACGCCGCGUGAAGGAUGAAGUAUUUCGGUAU
rnacentral:rRNA from 1 species